UGGGGAAUAUUGCACAAUGGGCGCAAGCCUGAUGCAGCAACGCCGCGUGAGGGAUGACGGCCUUCGGGUUGUAAACCUCUUUUAGUAGGGAAGAAGCGAAAGUGACGGUACCUGCAGAAAAAAGCACCGGCUAACUACGUGCCAGCAGCCGCGGUAAUACGUAGGGUGCGAGCGUUGUCCGGAAUUAUUGGGCGUAAAGAGCUCGUAGGCGGUCUGUCGCGUCUGCUGUGAAAACCCGAGGCUCAACCUCGGGCCUGCAGUGGGUACGGGCAGACUAGAGUGCGGUAGGGGGAGAAUGGAAUUCCUGGUGUAGCGGUGGAAUGCGCAGAUAUCAGGAGGAACACCGAUGGCGAAGGCAGUUCUCUGGGCCCGUAACUGACGCUGAGGAGCGAAAGCGUGGGGAGCGAACAGGAUUAGAUACCCUGGUAGUCCACGCCGUAAACGUUGGGCGCUAGAUGUGGGGACCAUUCCACGGUUUCCGUGUCGCAGCUAACGCAUU
rnacentral:rRNA from 1 species